AACAACCAAAUAAGCAAAAAUAUCUAAACUGAAUCACAGAGGAGAAUGUAGUCAAUGCAAGUUACCACAAUAUGCUGUGGGAACACAGGAGGGGAGAAGUGGUGUCCAGGGUGGCCAUGUGUGUCAGUGGUGGAGGGCAAAUAGGAAAGAGGACAAGGUCAGUGCAUAAAUCACAGGUGAAAGAACAUCUUGUGUAUUCAUUCAUUCAUUCAUUCAUUCGACAAAUAGUAAUUUUUCCUUUCUUGGCUAGGGAAUACAGACCUGUCCCCUGUCCUGUGGGAGCUUAAAUCUCAUGAAGAAGACAGACAAAGAUAAUAUAAUGACCCAGAUAAAAUGUAAACUUGUGGAAAGUGUAGGGAAGGAGAGAGCUGUGUUUGCUGUAAGUGGGUAUAACCAGGGGAUUUCCCCCACCCAGGGAGGUCAGAGAAGGAUGUUUAAGGGUGGGUGAGAUUUCAACACCUCAGAGGAGGGCGAGAUAUCCUAUUAGGAGAAACAGACUGGGCAGUGAGCAGGGCUGGAAAGGGCUGGCCAGGUGUAGGGAAAGAUGAGUGGUCUGGACCCAUGAAAAUGGCAGGGAAUGAAUGAGAGACAAUGAGGUACGAGGCUCUGCGCCUGGCAGUUUCUAUGUUUGGAGUUUAUGUUACACUUAGAACAAUCCUGUAAGCCCUAAAGGUGAUGUUGAACCUCUGAUUCUGCUACAGUACUAAGAUUUAUUAUGUCACUGGAGGGCAGUGAAGAUAUGAUGUGACAUGAUGUACAGAGCAAACCAACUGGCCCUCUUGCAACUGGAACUCUUGAAUGGAACACUUGCUCUUGGAGUCCUGAGGGGCCAUUGAAGGUAUCCAACUACUCUGAGGCUCCCAUGCUGGAGAGAUCCCAGGUAAGUGCUCCAGUUGAGGGUCUCAGCUGACCCCAGUCUUCCAGCUGUCCUUGCCAAGGUGCCAGAUGUAUGAGAGCCCCUCCAGACCAGACCAUCUUUUAGUCCAGUGCCACCAAGUCAACUCUGUUGAUGCCACAUGGAACAGACGAACCACUCAGCUGUGCCCUGUCCAAAUUCCUGACCUAAAAAAUUCUGAGGUAAAAUAACAUAUUUUUAAUGUUAAACUUCUAAGUUCUGGGCUAGUUACUCAGGAAGGGAGGACUGGAACAUGACCACCACUUUCUAUUUCCUGUAGUCACUGCAGUAUUACUCUUCUUAGCAGACUAUGUAGCAUGUUUAAUGUAGGCUGAAAUGUUAGGUUGAAGUUCAGCUGUUUGGACUAAGUUCUGUUAUAGACACAUUUAGCAAUCAUUGGAAGUUUGGGAAACUCUCUUUUUCUCUGUUUGUUAGCAUGCCUGGAACUUUGAAUAAUGCAUCUGAAGAAUCUGCCCGCAUAGGUAAAAACAUGCUCCCUUCUUGUCAUUGAAUUUUAAGCUGUGGACACAAGUCUUAUGAGUUCAUCUAUAAACAUAAGCAUAGAAAGCAGUAGAAGCCACACCUGUGGUGAGGAGCUCUCCAUAUGGGGUUGGUAAGUAAAGCAAUAAUCAUGGGUAUGCUUUCUGAGAGAAAGUAUAGCAGAAAGUAGAACAAAAUCUUGGGGGAAUGCCCACAGUUAAAGAGGCAGGCUUGAAAGGCAUAAGAAUGAUAUACUAGACUUUGGGGAAUCAGGGGGAAGAGUGGGAGGGUGGAGAGGGAGAAAACACUACACAUUGAGUACUGUGUACACUGCUCGGGUGACGGGUGCACCAGAAUCUCAGAAAUCACUGCUGAAGAACUUAUCUAUAUAACCAAAACUACCUGUUCCCCUAAAACUAUUGAAAUAGAAAAAUAAUAAAGAGGCAAGCUUGGAAGGCAAGGGGAUGGUUUGCAGAGCUCACAUCAAGGAUGGGGGAGGGUUUCAGCAGGAGGCAUUGGUGUCCAGGUCACAAAGAUGUCCAGGAUAAGAUCAUGGCUUACUUGCCUUGCAGGCACCCUCAUGAUAGUUCCCUGUGACCUCAGUUAUAAGUUUGUGUAGUCAUAUAUGUAGUGUUGGGCAAAAAAACUUUUUGUCACUAGUUGUGUUACUGAUUUAGUGAGGCAUCUUUGGGAGCAAAGCCUUGCCGUGAUUUUGUUUUUUAUAUAACCACAGCCAGCUGUCUCCUGAUAUGCCCUUAUCCACUUGGUGUGUGGGGGAACCACACUACCGAGUCUUUGGUCUAUUUUUUACAACUUUUCACAAAGGUUGAGUUAUUAGAGCAUUCUAGUUCUGAUCUUUUUAAAUUUUACUUUUUAAAAAAAUUUUAA
rnacentral:lncRNA from 1 species